UCGGCUCACGCAUCGAUGAAGAACGUAGCAAAAUGCGAUACUUGGUGUGAAUUGCAGAAUCCCGUGAACCAUCGAGUUUUUGAACGCAAGUUGCGCUCGAAGCCAUUCGGCUGAGGGCACGUCUGCCUGGGCGUCACGCAUCGCGUCGCCCCCAACCAUGACUCCU
rnacentral:rRNA from 6 species